AAGGGGAACUCAGUCUGACUUCAUUUUUCCCCCAAUGGCCUGGUGCUCGGAUGUAGUUCAAAUUCCUUCUCUAAGCAGAGGCAUUUCUCCCCCUUGUGCUCCUUAGAGCUCCAGGAGGGGUGACACAGGCAAUUCUGCUUAUUGAUUGAUGCAAUGCAAUUUUUUAAAUGAGUAUAAUUAAUGAAGCAUUGUGGCUUCUCACCUGGACUUUAUAGCUCUUGUGAAGAGGACUAGAGAUUCCUUAGGAAAGAUGCCUUCCAUGUGACAGACCAGCAUUCAGCAUUGUGCCUGUGCUAUUCGCAGUAUUCAAGUCAUGAAACCAAUUUGUCAAUAAAGGAAAUGUGGAUAUGCCCACCGGUAUACUAAUCAGCUCUACAAAAGGAAACCCUGUCAUUCCUAACCACAUGGAUGAUGACAUCAUGCUCAAGUAAA